rnacentral:rRNA from 1 species
GACGAACGCUGGCGGCGUGCUUAACACAUGCAAGUCGGGCGGUAAGGCCCUUUCGGGGGUACACGAGCGGCGAACGGGUGAGUAACACGUGGGUGACCUGCCCUCAGCUCUGGGAUAAGCCUGGGAAACCGGGUCUAAUACCGGAUAUGACUCCAUGACGCAUGUUGUGGGGUGGAAAGCCUUGUGCGGCUGAGGAUGGGCCCGCGGCCUAUCAGCUUGUUGGUGGGGUGAUGGCCUACCAAGGCGACGACGGGUAGCCGGCCUGAGAGGGCGACCGGCCACACUGGGACUGAGACACGGCCCAGACUCCUACGGGAGGCAGCAGUGGGGAAUCUUGCGCAAUGGGCGAAAGCCCUGACGCAGCGACGCCGCGUGAGGGAUGACGGCC